AUCCAGCUGAAGAGUCCCAAAUAGGACGGAACGUGCGUAUCUGAU
rnacentral:hammerhead_ribozyme from 1 species